rnacentral:RNase_P_RNA from 1 species
CGCAAGAUGAGGAAAGUCCGAGCAUCUAGAGAACAUGGUGCAGGCUAACGGCCUGUGGGGGCGACCCUAAGGAUAGUGCAACAGAAAUAAACCGCCAAAAUUUGGUAAGGAUGGAAAGGUGGUGUAAGAGACCACCGAAAAGCUAGAGAUAGUUUUUGCUCUGUAAACCCCACCUGAUGCAAGGCUGAAGGGCAUAUGUGCGUUCUCUCACGCUCUUUUAGACCGCUUGAUUUUGCAGGCAACUGCAAAACUAGAUAGAUGAUUGUCAAAUACAGAACUCGGCUUACAGCAUCAC